AACGAACGCUGGCGGCGUGCUUAACACAUGCAAGUCGAACGCGAACGGGUUCUUCGGGACCUUAGUAGAGUGGCGCACGGGUGAGUAACGCGUAAGUAAUCUACCCUGGCAUCGGGAAUAACAUAUCGAAAGGUGUGCUAAUACCGGAUACGCUGGUAACAGGAAAGGUGGCCUCUGCAUAUGCUACCGUGCUGGGAUGAGCUUGCGUACCAUUAGCUAGUUGGUGGGGUAAGGGCCUACCAAGGCGACGAUGGUUAGCGGGUCUGAGAGGAUGAUCCGCCACACUGGAACUGGAACACGGACCAGACUCCUACGGGAGGCAGCAGUGAGGAAUAUUGCGCAAUGGGGGCAACCCUGACGCAGCGACGCCGCGUGGAUGAUGAAGGCCUUCGGGUCGUAAAAUCCUGUCAGGUGGAAAGAAAUGCAUAGAUGCUAAUACCAUGUAUGUUUGACGGUACCACCGAAGGAAGCACCGGCUAACUCCGUGCCAGCCGCCGCGGUAA
rnacentral:rRNA from 1 species